AUUCAAAUCAUUGGCUUAGAUUGAGGCAAAAGAUGCUUUGCCCUUUAGUGGUGGUUGAGAGGUGCAUAGAAAAAUUUAGGGUUCUGGAUAUUCUUUUAUUAACUUCCGAACUAAAAUAUGUUCCAGACCAAUUUAUAUGCUACAAGGCCGGUUUGAUGUUUUGGGAUCAUCAAACAAUUUAAGAACAUAAGUCAAUGGAUUAAACUUAAUUUAUCAGUAUGGUAUAAAGAACACAGAUCAACGAAUAUGCUUGCGAAGCAUAGAAGGCAUAAGUUAGAUCUGAAUUUUUUUAAAACAUCAACUUCGAAUAUCCAAAAAAGUCAAUGUCUAUUCGGAGGUUCCAUUGAGGGAAUUCUACAUAAAUUAUUCUUACGAAAAGAAAAGGAAAAAAAUGUAAACUGUAAUGCAAAAGUUCCCGAAGCACAUUGAUAAUAAUCUAAAGCCCCGAUGGAAUUAGCAGUUGAUUUCGGGAAAUCAUUUACAGCUAAUCUAAGAAAUGUAGCUGGAGUUAUCCUCGACCAUCUCACAUAAACACUACCAUUGUUCCACCACAGAGAAAGGGUCACUUCCAUCCAUCUCUGCAGGAUGAAACUAGUAUCGACUGAAAAUUACAGCUCUACCAAAUACAAUUUACAUACAGCGAUUAAAAUGCGUAAAGGGCUAAAGAAUCAGAGAUCCGUGAAGUGAAGCAAAAAGGAAGAAAGCAAACCUCCUUGAGUGAACCUGGUACCGAGCUUCGCAUAGGAGGAGAGCUUGACAUCGAGAUCGCCCUCGAUCUUUCGAGCCUCACGCCUCAGCUCCUCCCAACCGGACUCCUGCAAUUCAAGGCUCUGAUCUGUCAUUGCCAUCUACAAAAUUCACACCCGAAACUCAUUUUGGUUUAGAUAUCAGUAUACAAUGCUUAAUUGGGCUCAAUGCCCUUUCCAUACUUAUUUGUCAAACUACUCGUAAGGUAAGGUAUCUAUAUCCGUACUACAAUAAAAAGUAAGUAUAUUGAAAAAUAUAAUAUAUUUUCAGACCGUUUUACCA